GAUGAACGCUGGCGGCGUGCCUAAUACAUGCAAGUCGAGCGAACAGACGAGGAGCUUGCUCCUCUGACGUUAGCGGCGGACGGGAGAGUAACACGUGGAUAACCUACCUAUAAGACUGGGAUAACUUCGGGAAACCGGAGCUACUACCGGAUAAUAUAUUGAACCGCAUGGUUCAAUAGUGAAAGACGGUUUUGCUGUCACUUAUAGAUGGAUCCGCGCCGCAUUAGUUAGUUGGUAAGGUAACGGCUUACCAAGGCAACGAGGCGUAGCCGACCUGAGAGGGUGAUCGGCCACACUGGAACUGAGACACGGUCCAGACUCCUACGGGAGGCAGCAGUAGGGAAUCUUCCGCAAGGGGCGAAAGCCGGACGGAGCAACGCCGCGUGAGUGAUGAAGGUCUUCGGAUCGGAAAACGCUGUUAGUAGUGAAGAACAAAUGUGUAAGUAACUAUGCACGUCUUGACGGUACCUAAUCAGAAAGCCACGGCUAACUACGUG
rnacentral:rRNA from 1 species